AUUGAACGCUGGCGGCAGGCCUAACACAUGCAAGUCGAACGGUAACAGGAAACAGCUUGCUGUUUCGCUGACGAGUGGCGGACGGGUGAGUAAUGUCUGGGAAACUGCCUGAUGGAGGGGGAUAACUACUGGAAACGGUAGCUAAUACCGCAUAACGUCGCAAGACCAAAGAGGGGGACCGUCGGGCCUCUUGCCAUCGGAGGUGCCCGGAUGGGAUUAGCUAGUAGGUGGGGUAACGGCUCACCUAGGCGACGAUCCCUAGCUGGUCUGAGAGGAUGACCAGCCACACUGGAACUGAGACACGGUCCAGACUCCUACGGGAGGCAGCAGUGGGGAAUAUUGCACAAUGGGCGCAAGCCUGAUGCAGCCAUGUCGCGUGUAUGAAGAAGGCCUUCGGGUUGUAAAGUACUUUCAGCGGGGAGGAAGGGAGUAAAGUUAAUACCUUUGCUCAUUGACGUUACCCGCAGAAGAAGCACCGGCUAACUCCGUGCCAGCCGCCGCAGUAA
rnacentral:rRNA from 1 species